rnacentral:rRNA from 1 species
GACGGAGGAUGCAAGCGUUAUCCGGAUUGAUUGGGCGUAAAGCGUCUGUAGGUGGCUUGGUAAGUCUGCUGUCAAAGCCCCGGGCUUAACCCUGGACAGGCAGUGGAAACUACCGAGCUUGAGUACGGUAGGGGCAGAGGGAAUUCCCGGUGAAGCGGUGAAAUGCGUAGAGAUCGGGAAGAACAUCGGUGGCGAAAGCGCUCUACUGGGCCAUAACUGACACUGAGGGACGAAAGCUAGGGGAGCGAAAGGG